GAAGAUCAAAGCUCCUAGUGUUGGAGACGGGGUGGUAGAGAAGGAAAAACCUAAGAGUAAUCCCACACAAGUCGAAAACGAGGAUAGAAUCAUUUCACCACCACCACUUAGACCAGGGACCAUACCCUUUUCAAGAUGUUUGGAAGAGAAGAAGAAGUGCGAUGAUGAGGAAUUCAUAGACUUCCUCAAGAUGUUUAAAGCCUUGUACGUGAACCUCCCC
rnacentral:lncRNA from 1 species